rnacentral:rRNA from 1 species
AUUGAACGCUGGCGGCAGGCCUAACACAUGCAAGUCGAGCGGGGUUUUCGGACUUAGCGGCGGACGGGUGAGUAAUGCGUAGGAAGCUACCCGAUAGAGGGGGAUACCAGUUGGAAACGACUGUUAAUACCGCAUAAUGUCUACGGACCAAAGUGUGGGACCUUCGGGCCACAUGCUAUCGGAUGCGCCUACGUGGGAUUAGCUAGUUGGUGAGGUAAUGGCUCACCAAGGCGACGAUCCCUAGCUGGUUUGAGAGGAUGAUCAGCCACACUGGAACUGAGACACGGUCCAGACUCCUACGGGAGGCAGCAGUGGGGAAUAUUGGACAAUGGGCGCAAGCCUGAUCCAGCCAUGCCGCGUGUGUGAAGAAGGCCAUCGGGUUGUAAAGCACUUUCAGUAGGGAGGAAGCGUUGUGUGUUAAUAGUACACAGCGUUGACGUUACCUACAGAAGAAGCACCGGCUAACUCUGUGCCAGCAGCCGCCGUAAUAC